rnacentral:rRNA from 1 species
UACAGAGGUCUCAAGCGUUGUUCGGAUUCAUUGGGCGUAAAGGGUGCGUAGGCGGCGCGGUAAGUCGGGUGUGAAAUCUCGGAGCUUAACUCCGAAACUGCAUUCGAUACUGCCGUGCUUGAGGACUGGAGAGGAGACUGGAAUUUACGGUGUAGCGGUGAAAUGCGUAGAUAUCGUAAGGAAGACCAGUGGCGAAGGCGGGUCUCUGGACAGUUCCUGACGUGAG